rnacentral:rRNA from 1 species
CCUACGGGAGGCAGCAGUGAGGAAUAUUGGACAAUGGGCGCAAGCCUGAUCCAGCCAUGCCGCGUGCAGGAAGAAGCAUCUAUGGUGUGUAAACUGCUUUUGUACAGGAAGAAACACUCCCUCGUGAGGGAGCUUGACGGUACUGUAAGAAUAAGGACCGGCUAACUCCGUGCCAGCAGCCGCGGUAAUACGGAGGGUCCGAGCGUUAUCCGGAAUCAUUGGGUUUAAAGGGUCCGUAGGCGGUUUAAUAAGUCAGUGGUGAAAUCUGGUCGCUCAACGAUCAAACGGCCAUUGAUACUGUUAGACUUGAAUUAUAAGGAAGUAACUAGAAUAUGUAGUGUAGCGGUGAAAUGCUUAGAUAUUACAUGGAAUACCAAUUGCGAAGGCAGGUUACUACUUAUGAUUGACGCUGAUGGACGAAAGCGUGGGGAGCGAACAGGAUUAGAUACCCUGGUAGUCCACGCCGUAAACGAUGGAUACUAGCUGUUCGGAGCAAUCUGAUGGCCUAAGCGAAAGUGAUAAGUAUCCCNCCGNGGAGUAAGUGUGAGAGUAGAGAGAAGAAGUUAGNGNGNGAGAGNGCGAGACGACGACGAGGGAGGAGG